GUAGACCUUACAGUGAAAUGCUGAAUACAACAGGUGUAGGUAGACCUUACAGUGAAAUGCUGAAUACAACAGGUGUAGGUAGACCUUACAGUGAAAUGCUGAAUACAACAGGUGUAGUUAGACCUUACAGUGAAAUGCUGAAUACAACAGGUGUAGUAGACCUUACAGUGAAAUGCUGAAUACAACAGGUGUAGUAGACCUUACAGUGAAAUGCUGAAUACAACAGGUGUAGUAGACCUUAGUGAAAUGCUGAAUACAACAGGUGUAGUAGACCUUAGUGAAAUGCUGAAUACAACAGGUGUAGUAGACCUUAGUGAAAUGCUGAAUACAAC
ensembl:lncRNA